rnacentral:rRNA from 1 species
GAUGAACGCUGGCGGCGUGCCUAAUACAUGCAAGUCGAACGCAUUGUGGUUGAAAUGAUAUGAAGAACUUGUUCAGAUUUGAUUUUCAACAUUGCAAUGAGUGGCGAACGGGUGAGUAACACGUGGGAAACCUACCUCUUAGCAGGGGAUAACAUUUGGAAACAAAUGCUAAUACCGUAUAAUAAUUAAAACCGCAUGGUUUUAGUUUAAAAGAUGGUCUUGCUAUCACUAAGAGAUGGUCCCGCGGUGUAUUAGUUAGUUGGUGAGGUAAUGGCUCACCAAGACAAUGAUACAUAGCCGAGUUGAGAGACUGACCGGCCACAAUGGGACUGAGACACGGCCCAUACUCCUACGGGAGGCAGCAGUAGGGAAUCGUUCCACAAUGGACGAAAGUCUGAUGGAGCAACGCCGCGUGUGUGAUGAAGGGUUUCGGCUCGGUAAAACACUGUUGUAAGAGAAGAAUGACAUUGAGAGUAACUGUUCAAUGUGUGAC